UAACCCUGUCAAUUAUAUAUAAGCAUGUGUUAUACGAAGAAGUUCACUUCCUCUCUUGAUUUAAAUGAAACUAUGAUCGAGGCCAUGAAGGAUCUCCAAUAACAUGACCUUUGUUGCUAGGCAGAAAGAAACUAGUUUAAAUGUUUUCACUUUAUUUGUUAACAAAUAAACAAGAACUAUCUCCCGCUAAGUAUUUAAACCGUCCUCCCGUCCUGAAGGGGGCGGUCAUCCAUCUGAUCUCCACCAAUAAGGAAACAGAAGAACCGGAAGAAGAAGGAGAACGCGCUGUGAUUGGUUGUCGGGUCACAUAAAGUCACAUGGCUGCUGCUCUUUGCUCAGACUGCGGUGAGAAUCUGAUUUUUUUUUUUCAGAGAUAUCUCCAUUAAAUGUGCUUUUAAAUCCUCCGGAGGAUGGAUGUUCAGGAGCACCCGCUGCAGCCGCUGCUCGAUGGUCACGGUGCCCCUGGUGCAGCAUGGUUUCCUCAGAGGGGGGCGUGAAGUCGAAAGGAAGCUUCCCUGUCUUCCUCUCCAGCUCCAACUCUCUGACAGAGAUUUUACCCUGAGGUUCGGGAUGCCUCCGUUCUUCUGUGAGAGCAUGGACUGCAGCCUCUCCAGCUGAGGUCAUGUUGAAGACGACCUCUGACCUGCAGCUGAGGACCUCCACCUGAAGGUGCCCCUGGUGCAGCAUGGUUUCCUCAGAGGGGGGGCGUGAAGUCGAAAGGAAGCUUCCCUGUCUUCCUCUCCAGCUCCAACUCUCUGACAGAGAUUUUACCCUGAGGUUCGGGAUGCCUCCGUUCUUCUGUGAGAGCAUGGACUGCAGCCUCUCCAGCUGAGGUCAUGUUGAAGACGACCUCUGACCUGCAGCCGAGGACCUCCACCUGAAGGUGCCCCUGGUGCAGCAUGGUUUCCUCAGAGGGGGGCGUGAAGUCGAAAGGAAGCUUCCCUGUCUUCCUCUUCGGGAUCUGAUUCUUCCUCUCCAGCUCCAACUCUCUGACAGAGAUUUUACCCUGAGGUUCGGGGUGCCUCCGUUCUUCUGUGAGAGCAUGGACUGCAGCCUCUCCAGCUGAGGUCAUGUUGAAGACUCCGCCCCCUGCAGGAGAACUCCCCUCAGACUCCGCCCCCUGCAGCCACUGUCAAGUGUCCUACUUCGGUUGCUGUCCGGAGUUGUCCAAUAUGGCGGACCAUCUCGCACACUGCAGAUUGGGCAGAGCUGCAGAUCGGGUAGUGACAGCCCCGCCUGUUCCUCACACACCUGUAGACCCCCCCCUGUUCCUCACACACCUGUAGACCCCCCCCCUGUUCCUCACACACCUGUAGACCACCCGCCGUUCCUCACACACCUGUAGGCACACCUAUAGCCCCCCACCCUGUUCCUCACACACACACACCUGUAGACCCCCCUGUUCCUCACACACCUGUAGACCCCCCUGUUCCUCACACACCUGUAGACACACCUGUAGACCCCCCUGUUCCUCACACACCUGUAGACACACCUGUAGACCCCCCCCUGUUCCUCACACACCUGUAGACCAACCCCCUGUUCCUCACACACCUGUAGACCACCCGCCGUUCCUCACACACCUGUAGGCACACCUGUUCCUCACAAACCUGUAGACACACCUAUAGC